GAUGAACGCUGGCGGCGUGCCUAAUACAUGCAAGUCGAGCGAACAGAUGAGGAGCUUGCUCCUCUGACGUUAGCGGCGGACGGGUGAGUAACACGUGGAUAACCUACCUAUAAGACUGGGAUAACUUCGGGAAACCGGAGCUAAUACCGGAUAAUAUAUUGAACCGCAUGGUUCAAUAGUUAAAGACGGUUUUGCUGUCACUUAUAGAUGUAUCCGCGCCGCAUUAGCUAGUUGGUAAGGUAACGGCUUACCAAGGCAACGAUGCGUAGCCGACCUGAGAGGGUGAUCGGCCACACUGGAACUGAGACACGGUCCAGACUCCUACGGGAGGCAGCAGUAGGGAAUCUUCCGCAAUGGGCGAAAGCCUGACGGAGCAACGCCGCGUGAGUGAUGAAGGUCUUCGGAUCGUAAAACUCUGUUAUUAGGGAAGAACAAAUGUGUAAGUAACUAUGCACGUCUUGACGGUACCUAAUCAGAAAGCCACGGCUAACUACGUG
rnacentral:rRNA from 1 species